rnacentral:rRNA from 1 species
CCUACGGGCGGCAGCAGUGAGGAAUAUUGGUCAAUGGGCGCGAGCCUGAACCAGCCAAGUCGCGUGAAGGAUGACUGCCCUACGGGUUGUAAACUUCUUUUGUAAAGGAAUAAAGUGAGGCACGUGUGCCUUUUUGUGUGUACUUUAUGAAUAAGGAUCGGCUAACUCCGUGCCAGCAGCCGCGGUAAUACGGAGGAUCCGAGCGUUAUCCGGAUUUAUUGGGUUUAAAGGGAGCGUAGAUGGGUUGUUAAGUCAGUUGUGAAAGUUUGCGGCUCAACCGUAAAAUUGCAAUUGAUACUGGCAGGCUUGAGUACGGUUGAGGUAGGCGGAAUUCGUGGUGUAGCGGUGAAAUGCUUAGAUAUCACGAAGAACUCCGAUUGCGAAGGCAGCUUACUAAACUGCCACUGACAUUGAUGCUCGAAAGUGUGGGUAUCAAACAGGAUUAGAUACCCGAGUAGUC